GACGAACGCUGGCGGCGUGCUUAACACAUGCAAGUCGAACGGUAAGGCCCUGCUUUUGUGGGGUGCUCGAGUGGCGAACGGGUGUGUAACACGUGAGUAACCUGCCCUUGACUUUGGGAUAACUUCAGGACACUGGGGCUAAUACCGGAUAGGCGCUCCUGCUGCAUGGUGGGGGUUGGAAAGUUUCGGCGGUUGGGGAUGGACUCGCGGCUUAUCAGCUUGUUGGUGGGGUAGUGGCUUACCAAGGCUUUGACGGGUAGCCGGCCUGAGAGGGUGACCGGCCACAUUGGGACUGAGAUACGGCCCAGGCUCCUACGGGAGGCAGCAGUGAGGAAUAGUGCACAAUGGGCGGAAGCCUGAUGCAGCAACGCCGCGUGCGGGAUGACGGCCUUCGGGUUGUAAACCGCUUUCGCCUGUGACGAAGCGGGAGUGACGGUAAUGGGUAAAGAAGCACCGGCUAACUACGUG
rnacentral:rRNA from 1 species